rnacentral:tRNA from 1 species
GUUUAAAUAGCUUAAAUUAAGAGUAUGGUGUUGAAGCUGCCAGGGUAAUAUUUUUAUUUUUAAACA